rnacentral:misc_RNA from 1 species
GACGAACCGUCCAAACGUUAUUCGGAAUCACUGGGCUUAAAGCGUGCGUAGGCGGCCUGCAAAGUUGGAUGUGAAAUCCCUCGGCCUAACCGAGGAAUUGCGUUCAAAACUAGUGGGCUCGAGGGAGAUAGAGGUGAGCGGAACUAAUGGUGGAGCGGUGAAAUGCGUUGAUAUCAUUAGGAACACCGGUGGCGAAAGCGGCUCACUGGGUCUCUACUGACGCUGAGGCACGAAAGCUAGGGUAGCGAACGGG